rnacentral:misc_RNA from 1 species
AACCCGUCGCUGAUCUCCACGCCCAGGUGGCCGCUCUCGAUGGCGAUCCUCUCGGCGCUGUCGGCGGGGAGGCACUUGUGCAGCGAGUCGAACACCACGGAGAAGUACCGGAGACUGGCCGUGAAAGGUGGAAGCAGCAGCCGCGCCAGCCGCGCCUUGGUUCGCCGCAGCUCGUCGUGGCUCGUGCCGGAGCCGGUGAUUCGCAGGGAAACUGGCUCGUCGCCGUCGCCGUCGUGUUAUGCGCUGCUCGUUCUCGCGCUCGUGCUCGCGGCGGCGGCCGACAGGGACUAGAUCAAGGAGGGCCACUGGAAGUCGUACGACACGUCGAGGUCGACCACGUGGAGGUGCCGGCGAUGGUGGCCGCCGCUCUGGAACGCCUCCGCGAUGGCGACUGCGAGUGAACCGGAGAGGCGAGAGCCGCGGCGGCUGCGGCUGCGAGUGAACUCGAGAGGCAAG